AUGCAUACAUCAAUAAAAACUCUGGAGCUCAAAAACUCACACACAUGCUUUCUCACACAAAAUUCAUUCAUACACCCUGCCUAGCAUCAUGACCACAAUCAUAAAUUCAUCACACAUCUAUUUCCUGGAUAUCAACAUGCAUUACAACUCAAAUCUCAUCCACAUCAAAUAAUCAUCAAAUAGACCCAUCAUGCACAUCAGUCAGUCAAACAUUUUCAGAACAAAUGUUAAAGCCAAGAGUACACACCAAAAUUAAAAUUCAACCUAUUCUAAGAAAUAAAGAAAACUCAAAUAAAAUAAACUAAAAUAAAAUAAAAUAAAAAAUAAAAGUAAAAGAAAGAAAAACUAAAUCCUGUCUAUGUUGUCAUCGGAGUCCUCCUGACUCUCAUCAUCCUCGUCCUCAAAGUUCUCCUCCUCAGUGUUAGGAGCUCCAACUGCUCCAAAAUCACUACUCUGCGCCUGCUGCUCAGGCCAUGCCACAGUUGUAUGAAACUCAUCCAUGGUCCACCUGUGCUCUGGUGGCUGGUCAUAUAAUCCAAUGAUCAUCUCAGCCGCCGUCACCUGCCCUCUGUGAAGGGCCUCCAUCCGGGCCUCCAUCAUGGACAUGUACAUGUCCCUCAUCUAGAAGGGCUCCGCGUGCUGAACUGGUACCUCAUCGGGCACCUGCUCCUGCUGAGCUGCACCUCUCCUACGACACCUUCGGGGUGCUACCCCUACUGCAUCUGUUGCUC
rnacentral:lncRNA from 1 species